ensembl:lncRNA
GGAAGAGUUGGGGGGCGGGGAGGGGAGGGCUGGGAAACAAGGAAUACUACACAGCAGUUAAAAACGAAUAAGGUGUGUACACACACAGGGAAGAGCUACAAGAUAUACUGCUGAGUGAAUACUGAAAACACUGAAAUAUUUGAUCUCCUCCAACUCUGAAUGCCACAGAGUCCAUGGAAUCAGGGACAAGGCUGGUGGCUGGACCUGGGAUUAAGUCCUAAGGAGAUCAGCUGACCGAGUUCACUGCCUUGCAAAUACUCACACCCACAAGAAAAGGAAGGUCACACUUCCCUCUAGGCCUCCAGGCAGUAUCCAUCUUAUGACCCGGUUUCCAGUCUGACUUUGUUUCCACAGUACCUUGAAAAUACUUGUACUGGUUUCAAGACAAAAAAAAAAAAAAUCAAAUGAGCAUUCCUCAGUUUCCAGCCCCCAGCCUAUGAUAACCCAGGAAGAACACUGCAUGUAUACAGAGUUACAAACUGAAGAACUAUGGGCUCUUUCUGGCUACAAAUUUCACCCAUAGGAUGUUUAAAAUACUUCUGAAUUCACUGCUUACAUCUAAAAAUCCAGGAAAUUUCCUUACAAAGUCCAAAAAUGUAUUUGGCAGCAAUGGUCCCACACGAUGCAACACCCGGCAGGAUGCUGAGGGCGGGGUGGUCCUUUAUUUAAGGUAUGUACCCUCCCAGAGGAUAAGAUGGUUAGAUAGCAUCACAGACUCAAUGGACAUGUAUUUGAGCAAACUCUGGUAGAUAGUGGAGGACAGAGAAGCCUGGUGGACUGCAGUCUCUGGGGUCGCAAAGAGUUGGACACAACUCAAGUGACUGAACAACAGGCCUCCCAGGGGUGGUUGGAGUCCUAUCCCUCAGAGACAACCAAGCCCAAACUCAACACAGAGGAAGACAUCACUGCUCAGAGAGGUGAGAAAACUUGCCCGAGGUCACAGAGCAAACUAGUGACAGGAUGGGAAGCAGGACUCGGCAUUCCUUACAUCAAGGCCUGUGUCCCUUCUACCUGCCAGGCUGCACUUCCUCUUGUUCAGAACCAGGCACAGCCUUAGAAAGUAGAUGAUCCACGUGACGGCUGACUAGAACAAGGCUUCUGGGAUCACCCUGAGUCCAGAGCAAAAUGCAACUCAGGCAGAAGUGACGCCUCAGACGACACAGGGGCGCAAGCACACAGCACCAUAAUUAGCCCAGACCUGGUCAUAGGAGCACCUCUUGUGCAAUGUUAUUCUUUGCUUCAUGGUUUCCACAUCCAGAAGACCAAUACUUCCCUAAAAAUCAAUUGUCCCCAGCAACCCACCUACACAGUUCUUGGAAAAUAUGGGUUAAGCAUUCUGCCUCACACACACUAAAAAAAAAAAAAAAAGGAAGAACAAAGAGGGUGGGAAAAAUUCAUCACCACAGUCCUGUGUACUUUUCAUUAUUUGUUUUUCGAGUCACCAAGUUCAAAUGACCCUGUUCCUUGGAGUUUCAGAACUAUUUUUACCAACACUUGCUAGAAAGGAGGUUUCACAGGUUUUAAUAAAUGCUAUUACUGGCUGUCAAGAGACACUACAUGGCUUCAAGAGGCUGGAGGUUUAGGGAACGGAAGGUGGCCUGGCAGGAAGAUGAGGCUGAGAUAAUCUGUUCCUGAUGCAGGGAAUGAACAGCUGAUUCCAUUCUGUUGCCCGGGGGAGGUGAGACACAGGAAUUGCAAAACAUCAGUCAGAUAAAUAAGUGGCUCCAUUGGGAUCAUUUCCCAACCUUCCAGAACAAACAAGGAGAUAGAUGGGUCUGGCUUUAAGAAGAGGCAGCAUCCAGUGAUGGGGAAUGCCCAGCGCAUGGCUCCAGUUUAUCACCAGCAUAUUCCCCAUGAUCACAGGCCCUCCUUGUAGCAUCUUCAUGCCCAGGGGAGCACAGGGUGUGUGGAAAGUGCUGAAUAAGUAAGUGUUGAGCAAUAAUGCUGCUCAAGUCUGCAUGGGGAGAAGACAGGAAGGAGACUCCUGGAGAGCCCUGGAGCUCAAAGGAAACUUCUUCCAUGGUGCGUGCUAUGUCAUGUCUGACUCUUUGCAACCUCCUGGACUGUAGCCUGCCAGGCUUCUCUGUCCAUGGGAUCCUCCAGGCAAGAAUACUGGAGUGGGUUGCCAUGCCCUCCUCCAGGGGAUCUUCCCGGCCCAGGGAUCAAAUCCACGUUUCCUGCGUCUCCUGCAUUGGCAGAUGGAUUCUUUAUAUACCCCUGAGCUACCUGGAAAACCCCCAUCAGAGAUUCUAGUGCCAGAGUCUGGGUGCGGUCAGCAGUCACUGAAAGUUAAUGAAUAUGCAAUCAGUAUGGAGUAAGCACUCAGUAAGCACCACUGGAUGACUGAUGGACCCAUCAAUUAGCGGGAUGACUGAGCACAGUGAAAACAUUCCAAGUUAUAUAGCUGUCACCUUCCCGUUUAUGGUCAACAGGGAUUUUCAGACGGACACCGAAGAACCCUGACCGCACUGUGCACCUCUGGGCAGCCUCUCACUCCUCCAUCCAGAGGGCAUGGGGGCAGUGGCAGGGUUCCUCUGAGUGCCAGGGGCUGAGAUGUCAUGGUGGAGGAGGAUGGGGAGAAGCUACCUUGGGAACGCAGUACAGGGUGCUCUCCCCUCCAUGAGCCAUCCUUAUUUCAUCUAAUUAGAAAAAGACAGAGGGCCAGGUACCAUGAUCACCUAUUCAGCUUGAAGGAACUAAGCUCGGAGAGAUUCAGGGAUUGCUCAGUGUCCUGUAGUGGGUAAAGGAGAGUGUCAGCUUCAAAACCAAGUCUUCCUACUCCAUGUGGAUGAACCUCUUCUCCUAGACUGCACCAAGCACACGGGAUGCAGGACAGCGGGUACCUCCCUGAUGACAGAGACGGCAGGACCGCCACAUGGAGACUCUUACAGCUCUGAAGGUCAGAAAUCCAGAAGUCUUCAAGUGCUAGUUGAAAGUGAUGUUUGCUCAGUUGUGUCCAGCUCUUUGCGAUGCCAUGGACUAUACAGUCCAUAGAAUUCUUCAGGCCAGAAUACUGGAGCAUGUGUCACGCAUCAUCAUGUUCCCAGCACACCGCAUGGUGCCUGCCAUACAGUGGAGAAACAGAGGCACGGGGCAGAAGUAACUUACUCCAAAUCACCAGCUGAGAUAAGCAGAAAGAAGGAGUCUAUCAAGUUCUAAGGCUGGGCUCUUUCCACUCCGACACAAAUCUGCCAAGAAUGAGGGUCAAACUGCAAGCACGGAGUCACAGGCGUUGUCUGUAGACGGUGCUGGGUGUGACAGUCAGUCAUUCCAGCCUCCACUCCAGAGUUGAGUGAGCUGAAGCCCCAGCCCUGGCUGAACCAGCUUUUGUCUUCCACAAAUGCACUCGGCCGGGCAGGCGGCCCUGGAGGGCAUCAAAGGCCCCGCUGGCCGCAGACACAAGAGUACAGCGGUGCCAAGGCAUCUCCCCUGCCAGCUACCCACCACCCGCCAUGCAGCCUGGGAGAGUCACAAAGAGGAGGUGCCCGGUCUUACAACCGUUCCAGUGACCAUCACCACCGAGUCACAACGUGCCCCAGCAAGUAGCAGGCACACCUCCACGACGGGCUAACGACAGGACGGCUUUCCUCCUCCCUGGACAUCUGUGAACUAGGAUGUUCUGUUCUUCCCCCUUAGAGAGGAGACUAAGGCACGAGGCAGGCCAAUGUGCCCACCCAGCCACCAGGAGCCAGACACUUGUGUCGCUGAACGCCAGCCAUGAGCCAGAACAACAGGAGCCCUGCUUUGGCUGGUUUGUGCAGGUACAAUCCCAGGGUCUCUCCAAGAUGAGAGGGCAGAAGUCACAGAAGUCUGGGACCUGACAUACACCUGGACGCCCCUCUUGACUCCAUCACCAGCUGUGAUCUUGGACAAGUGACUGACCCCCAAGCCUUAGUACCGGGCACACAAUAAGUGCUCAAUAAACGUCCCAGGCUGGGAGUACAUCAGCACAUUGGAAG